GAUGAACGCUAGCGGCAGGCUUAACACAUGCAAGUCGAGGGGUAUAGUUCCUCGGAAUUAGAGACCGGCGCACGGGUGCGUAACGCGUAUGCAAUCUACCUUUUGCAGAGGGAUAGCCCAGAGAAAUUUGGAUUAAUACCUCAUAGUAUAGCACAACCGCAUGGUUGAGUUAUUAAAGUCACAACGGCAAAAGAUGAGCA
rnacentral:rRNA from 1 species